rnacentral:rRNA from 1 species
AAUCAACGCUGGCGGCGUGCCUAACACAUGCAAGUCGAACGCGAAAGUUCCUUCGGGGAUGAGUAGAGUGGCGUCCGGGUGAGUAACGCGUGGGUAAUCUACCCUUGGGUGGGGAAUAACCAGUCGAAAGGCUGGCUAAUACCGCAUAAUGCAGCGGCUCGACAUCGAGACAGUUGUUAAAGCGCAAUCGCAAGGUUGCGCGCCUAAGGAGGAGCCUGCGUCUGAUAGCUUGUUGGUGAGGUAAUGGCUCACCAAGGCUGCGAUCAGUAGCUGGUCUGAGAGGACGGCCAGCCACAAUGGCACUGAAACACGGGCCAUACUCCUACGGGAGGCAGC